UUAAGUUAUUAAGGGCGCACGGUGGAUGCCUUGGCACUAGAAGCCGAUGAAGGACGUUACUAACGACGAUAUGCUUUGGGGAGCUGUAAGUAAGCUUUGAUCCAGAGAUUUCCGAAUGGGGAAACCCAGCAUGAGUUAUGUCAUGUUAUCGAUAUGUGAAUACAUAGCAUAUCAGAAGGCACACCCGGAGAACUGAAACAUCUUAGUACCCGGAGGAAGAGAAAGAAAAUUCGAUUCCCUUAGUAGCGGCGAGCGAAACGGGAAGAGCCCAAACCAACAAGCUUGCUUGUUGGGGUUGUAGGACACUCUAUACGGAGUUACAAAGGACGACAUUAGACGAAUCAUCUGGAAAGAUGAAUCAAAGAAGGUAAUAAUCCUGUAGUCGAAAAUGUUGUCUCUCUUGAGUGGAUCCUGAGUACGACGGAGCACGUGAAAUUCCGUCGGAAUCUGGGAGGACCAUCUCCUAAGGCUAAAUACUCUCUAGUGACCGAUAGUGAACCAGUACCGUGAGGGAAAGGUGAAAAGCACCCCGGAAGGGGAGUGAAAUAGAACCUGAAACCGUGUGCUUACAAGUAGUCAGAGCCCGUUAAUGGGUGAUGGCGUGCCUUUUGUAGAAUGAACCGGCGAGUUACGAUUUGAUGCAAGGUUAAGCAGUAAAUGUGGAGCCGUAGCGAAAGCGAGUCUGAAUAGGGCGUUUAGUAUUUGGUCGUAGACCCGAAACCAGGUGAUCUACCCUUGGUCAGGUUGAAGUUCAGGUAACACUGAAUGGAGGACCGAACCGACUUACGUUGAAAAGUGAGCGGAUGAACUGAGGGUAGCGGAGAAAUUCCAAUCGAACCUGGAGAUAGCUGGUUCUCUCCGAAAUAGCUUUAGGGCUAGCCUCAAGUGAUGAUUAUUGGAGGUAGAGCACUGUUUGGACGAGGGGCCCCUCUCGGGUUACCGAAUUCAGACAAACUCCGAAUGCCAAUUAAUUUAACUUGGGAGUCAGAACAUGGGUGAUAAGGUCCGUGUUCGAAAGGGAAACAGCCCAGACCACCAGCUAAGGUCCCAAAAUAUAUGUUAAGUGGAAAAGGAUGUGGCGUUGCCCAGACAACUAGGAUGUUGGCUUAGAAGCAGCCAUCAUUUAAAGAGUGCGUAAUAGCUCACUAGUCGAGUGACACUGCGCCGAAAAUGUACCGGGGCUAAACAUAUUACCGAAGCUGUGGAUUGUCCUUUGGACAAUGGUAGGAGAGCGUUCUAAGGGCGUUGAAGCAUGAUCGUAAGGACAUGUGGAGCGCUUAGAAGUGAGAAUGCCGGUGUGAGUAGCGAAAGACGGGUGAGAAUCCCGUCCACCGAUUGACUAAGGUUUCCAGAGGAAGGCUCGUCCGCUCUGGGUUAGUCGGGUCCUAAGCUGAGGCCGACAGGCGUAGGCGAUGGAUAACAGGUUGAUAUUCCUGUACCACCUAUAAUCGUUUUAAUCGAUGGGGGGACGCAGUAGGAUAGGCGAAGCGUGCGAUUGGAUUGCACGUCUAAGCAGUAAGGCUGAGUAUUAGGCAAAUCCGGUACUCGUUAAGGCUGAGCUGUGAUGGGGAGAAGACAUUGUGUCUUCGAGUCGUUGAUUUCACACUGCCGAGAAAAGCCUCUAGAUAGAAAAUAGGUGCCCGUACCGCAAACCGACACAGGUAGUCAAGAUGAGAAUUCUAAGGUGAGCGAGCGAACUCUCGUUAAGGAACUCGGCAAAAUGACCCCGUAACUUCGGGAGAAGGGGUGCUCUUUAGGGUUAACGCCCAGAAGAGCCGCAGUGAAUAGGCCCAAGCGACUGUUUAUCAAAAACACAGGUCUCUGCUAAACCGUAAGGUGAUGUAUAGGGGCUGACGCCUGCCCGGUGCUGGAAGGUUAAGAGGAGUGGUUAGCUUCUGCGAAGCUACGAAUUGAAGCCCCAGUAAACGGCGGCCGUAACUAUAACGGUCCUAAGGUAGCGAAAUUCCUUGUCGGGUAAGUUCCGACCCGCACGAAAGGCGUAACGAUUUGGGCACUGUCUCAACGAGAGACUCGGUGAAAUCAUAGUACCUGUGAAGAUGCAGGUUACCCGCGACAGGACGGAAAGACCCCGUGGAGCUUUACUGUAGCCUGAUAUUGAAAUUCGGCACAGCUUGUACAGGAUAGGUAGGAGCCUUUGAAACGUGAGCGCUAGCUUACGUGGAGGCGCUGGUGGGAUACUACCCUAGCUGUGUUGGCUUUCUAACCCGCACCACUUAUCGUGGUGGGAGACAGUGUCAGGCGGGCAGUUUGACUGGGGCGGUCGCCUCCUAAAAGGUAACGGAGGCGCUCAAAGGUUCCCUCAGAAUGGUUGGAAAUCAUUCAUAGAGUGUAAAGGCAUAAGGGAGCUUGACUGCGAGACCUACAAGUCGAGCAGGGUCGAAAGACGGACUUAGUGAUCCGGUGGUUCCGCAUGGAAGGGCCAUCGCUCAACGGAUAAAAGCUACCCCGGGGAUAACAGGCUUAUCUCCCCCAAGAGUUCACAUCGACGGGGAGGUUUGGCACCUCGAUGUCGGCUCAUCGCAUCCUGGGGCUGUAGUCGGUCCCAAGGGUUGGGCUGUUCGCCCAUUAAAGCGGUACGCGAGCUGGGUUCAGAACGUCGUGAGACAGUUCGGUCCCUAUCCGUCGUGGGCGUAGGAAAUUUGAGAGGAGCUGUCCUUAGUACGAGAGGACCGGGAUGGACAUACCUCUGGUGUACCAGUUGUCGUGCCAACGGCAUAGCUGGGUAGCUAUGUGUGGACGGGAUAAGUGCUGAAAGCAUCUAAGCAUGAAGCCCCCCUCAAGAUGAGAUUUCCCAACUUCGGUUAUAAGAUCCCUCAAAGAUGAUGAGGUUAAUAGGUUCGAGGUGGAAGCAUGGUGACAUGUGGAGCUGACGAAUACUAAUCGAUCGAAGACUUAAUCAA
rnacentral:rRNA from 1 species